CGCAGCCUGAUCCAGCCAUGCCGCGUGAUUGAUGAAGGCCUUAGGGUUGUAAAGAUCUUUCAGAUGGGAAGAUAAUGACGGUACCAUCAGAAGAAGCUCCGGCUAACUCCGUGCCAGCAGCCGCGGUAAUACGGAGGGAGCUAGCGUUGUUCGGAAUUACUGGGCGUAAAGCGUACGUAGGCGGACUAUUAAGUCAGAGGUGAAAUCCCAGGGCUCAACCCUGGAACUGCCUUUGAUACUGGUAGUCUAGAGGUCGAGAGAGGUGAGUGGAAUUCCGAGUGUAGAGGUGAAAUUCGUAGAUAUUCGGAGGAACACCAGUGGCGAAGGCGGCUCACUGGCUCGAUACUGACGCUGAGGUACGAAAGUGUGGGUAGCAAACAGGAUUAGAUACCCUGGUAGUCCACACCGUAAACGAUGAAUGCUAGUCGUCAGGGGACUUGUCCUUUGGUGACGCAGCUAACGCAUUAAGCAUUCCGCCUGGGGAGUACGGUCGCAAGAUUAAAACUCAAAGAAAUUUGACGGAAG
rnacentral:rRNA from 1 species